ensembl:lncRNA
CCCUCCUGCGUCUCCCAGCCCGGGGCGGGCCCCCCUCCAGGCAGUCAGAAGGAAGCUGAAUCAACACGGCCACCCGCAGCUGCAGAAGCAGGGUCCCGCCGGCCGCUCUAUCCCUGGCCAGCAGCCCCUGUCCCAUCCCCUGGGCGCUCAGAACUGACUCAUAGCUGAACUUUCCUGGGGUUCACCCUCUGCCCUCGCUGGGAGGACAGAGAGCUGUAGGUGGGCCGGGAGCCAGAGCAGCUGCCACUAAGCUUUUGCCCCUGCCCGGGUCUUGGUUUUCCCAUCGGAACAGACGGGCUGCUCUCUGAGCUCAGGGCCGGGUAAACAGCACACCCCAGAAGCAGGACAAUCUGAUCGGAAUUCCAAGCUCGGAACUCCUCUCUCAGCUCUGGAGUCCAAGUGUGCAAGGAUCACAAGUGCCCACAGCCCGCUGUGAGUGAGCCCCUUUGCUGACAGCUUCCUCCUCUGUGGAGGCUCCUGUCCCCUGGGGCACAGUUCACCCCUAGCCUUGUUAUCUGACCGGCAAGCCCUUGAUGACAGCAACCUGUCUGGAGGAACGGGACCGCAAAGGGGGAGCGCUUAGCUCGGUCCAUGGCGCCCUCUGGUGGUCAGAGUGCAGAAUGGCUGCAGGUGUCCCCUAAUCCCCAUUGCAAUCCUUGGACUGGAAUUAAAACCCCCCAGCCCGGCCGUUGAUUCAUACCAGCUGAAUCAGAUACCCUCUGGUGUGUUCAGGAAUGUGUUUUUUUCAUUUUCCUUUGGUGAUUCCGAGACCCGCAGGAGCCUGCAAAUAGUCCAUAUUGUAGGGCAGGAGAUUUCCAGAGAAAGGACCAAAAUAUCCAGGAAUUAAUAUUUAGAGAGGGUUUCUCCAGGAGAGUUUGCAGGAGGGAAACUGAGCCAGCCAGGGGGGCAGCUCCCCCUGCCCCACAUUUCCUGAAGAGGAGGAAUCAGAGCCCCUAUGGGUUAGAUUAGUUUUGAGAUUUUUGUCAGUUUUCCGUUAAGCUUCCUUUAAUUAAAAAACAAAACAAAACAGCAAUGAAUUAAAUGCAGGAGAUCCGGUUUCAGUCCCUGGGUCAGGAAGAUCCCCUGGAGAAGAACAUGACUAAGUGACUUUCACUUUAGUAUUUUUUAAUUCAUUCCAUCCAUUCAUCCAAUUGCUCAGUCGUGGACACGACUCUUUGUGACCCCAUGGACUGUAGCCCGCCAGGCAAGAAUACUGGAGUGGGUAGCCUUUCCCUUCUCCAGGAGAUGUUCCUAACCCAGGGAUUGAACCCAGGUCUCUCUCAUUGCAGGCGGAUUCUUUACCUGCUGAACCACAAGGGAAGCCCUCAAAAAUACUAUCCACUCUCCCAUCUUCUCAGAGCUGAGCCAGUGGGGAGUGGUAGGCAGUGUCAACACUCUCCAAGACUGCCACAAAGCCCUUUGACCUCCCCUGCCUAGUGAGAGGUGAGCUAAGAGGAAAGAGGAUUGGUGGGAGGGAGAAAGCGGUACACCCUGGGGUGGGAGUGGGGGCAAGGGGGAGGGCCUCAUGCUGCUGGGGUGGUAGGGGUGGAUUCAGACCAGGUCUGUCCAGGUCCUGAGCCCUAGUUUUUAACCUGCUUUGACCUGCAGGCAGCAAGGCUCUCUACAGGAUAUUCCACUCGUUGAAGAAUGAGGGGGUGCGCUUAGCUUCACAGAACACAGCAGGGGCUCCUUCGCACUCCUUGCCCC